AUUUACUUUGCAGCUAGCUUCCCUCACUCAAGCAAACUGGAAGCUACAAAAAUUGUGCCUUUUAACCAGCACAAGGAAUAGAGCAGCCUUCUGCCUUUCACUUCUGCUGGCACCCAAUGCUUUCUGGUGCAGUAGAAAUUAAAUUUAAAAUUACCUGUAGACCAGCUACACAGAUGAACUUUGAAACACUACAACUCUGAAGUAAAAGCAUUUUUUUACCAUAGGUCUGACACUGUGCCAUCCUCAGAAAUGGUAUAAAGUGCCUUACAGAAGUCUGUUUUGCUGAGCAGCUGACUUCUAUCUGCUCAACAUAAAGUAGAUUAAAAUAGAGCUUUAAGACUAAUUCUCUAUGUGUUUCUCACUUGAGGUCAUGAGCAGAAUGUGAACCCUCAAGCUGUGAAAUCAAGAGAUGGGUCUCUUCUAAACCAGCUCUUCCGAGGAGCCAGCCACAGCCUCUGUCAGUUACUGGAUGGUUUCUUCCUGGAAGAAUAGAUGGAACAGAAAUCGAUGGAGUCUGGUAUCACUAAUUUACGGGGAAGGUGGGGCAGAUGUUGACCUGAGGUCUGGAGCACACCUUCCCAGC
rnacentral:lncRNA from 1 species